rnacentral:tRNA from 1 species
UCCCUGGUGGUCCAGUGGUUAAGAAUCCACCCUGCAAUGCUGGGGACUCAGGGUCGAUCCCUGAUCAGGGAA